rnacentral:rRNA from 1 species
GAGUUUGAUCAUGGCUCAGGACGAACGCUGGCGGCGUGCCUAAUACAUGCAAGUAGAACGCUGAAGAGAGGAGCUUGCUCUUCUUGGAUGAGUUGCGAACGGGUGAGUAACGCGUAGGUAACCUGCCUUGUAGCGGGGGAUAACUAUUGGAAACGAUAGCUAAUACCGCAUAACAAUAGGUGACACAUGUCAUUUAUUUGAAAGGGGCAAUUGCUCCACUACAAGAUGGACCUGCGUUGUAUUAGCUAGUAGGUGAGGUAACGGCUCACCUAGGCGACGAUACAUAGCCGACCUGAGAGGGUGAUCGGCCAUACUGGGACUGAGACACGGCCCAGACUCCUACGGGAGGCAGCAGUAGGGAAUCUUCGGCAAUGGGGGCAACCCUGACCGAGCAACGCCGCGUGAGUGAAGAAGGUUUUCGGAUCGUAAAGCUCUGUUGUAAGUCAAGAACGAGUGUGAGAGUGGAAAGUUCACACUGUGACGGUAGCUUACCAGAAAGGGACGGCUAACUACGUGCCAGCAGCCGCGGUAAUACGUAGGUCCCGAGCGUUGUCCGGAUUUAUUGGGCGUAAAGCGAGCGCAGGCGGUUUGAUAAAUCUGAAGUUAAAGGCUGUGGCUCAACCAUAGUUCGCUUUGGAAACUGUCAAACUUGAGUGCAGAAGGGGAGAGUGGAAUUCCAUGUGUAGCGGUGAAAUGCGUAGAUAUAUGGAGGAACACCGGUGGCGAAAGCGGCUCUCUGGUCUGUAACUGACGCUGAGGCUCGAAAGCGUGGGGAGCGAACAGGAUUAGAUACCCUGGUAGUCCACGCCGUAAACGAUGAGUGCUAGGUGUUGGAUCCUUUCCGGGAUUCAGUGCCGCAGCUAACGCAUUAAGCACUCCGCCUGGGGAGUACGACCGCAAGGUUGAAACUCAAAGGAAUUGACGGGGGCCCGCACAAGCGGUGGAGCAUGUGGUUUAAUUCGAAGCAACGCGAAGAACCUUACCAGGUCUUGACAUCCCGAUGCUAUUUCUAGAGAUAGAAAGUUACUUCGGUACAUCGGUGACAGGUGGUGCAUGGUUGUCGUCAGCUCGUGUCGUGAGAUGUUGGGUUAAGUCCCGCAACGAGCGCAACCCCUAUUGUUAGUUGCCAUCAUUCAGUUGGGCACUCUAGCGAGACUGCCGGUAAUAAACCGGAGGAAGGUGGGGAUGACGUCAAAUCAUCAUGCCCCUUAUGACCUGGGCUACACACGUGCUACAAUGGUUGGUACAACGAGUUGCGAGUCGGUGACGGCAAGCUAAUCUCUUAAAGCCAAUCUCAGUUCGGAUUGUAGGCUGCAACUCGCCUACAUGAAGUCGGAAUCGCUAGUAAUCGCGGAUCAGCACGCCGCGGUGAAUACGUUCCCGGGCCUUGCACACACCGCCCGUC